UCGCUUCAGCAGCAAAUAUUACUAAAAGAGGAGCGAGUGACACAGAGAAGAUUAGCAUGGCCCCUGCGCAAGGAUGGCAUGCAAAUUCGUGAAGUAUUCCAUAAUUUU